GACGAACGCUGGCGGCGUGCUUAACACAUCCUAGUCGAACGGAAAGGCCCUGCUUUUGUGGGGUGCUCGAGUGGCGAACGGGUGAGUAACACGUGAGUAACCUGCCCUUGACUUUGGGAUAACUUCAGGAAACUGGGGCUAAUACCGGAUAGGAGCUCCUGCUGCAUGGUGGGGGUUGGAAAGUUUCGGCGGUUGGGGAUGGACUCGCGGCUUAUCAGCUUGUUGGUGGGGUAGUGGCUUACCAAGGCUUUGACGGGUAGCCGGCCUGAGAGGGUGACCGGCCACAUUGGGACUGAGAUACGGCCCAGACUCCUACGGGAGGCAGCAGUGGGGAAUAUUGCACAAUGGGCGGAAGCCUGAUGCAGCAACGCCGCGUGCGGGAUGACGGCCUUCGGGUUGUAAACCGCUUUCGCCUGUGACGAAGCGUGAGUGACGGUAAUGGGUAAAGAAGCACCGGCUAACUACGUGCCAGCAGCCGCGGUGAUACGUAGGGUGCGAGCGUUGUCCGGAUUUAUUGGGCGUAAAGGGCUCGUAGGUGGUUGAUCGCGUCGGAAGUGUAAUCUUGGGGCUUAACCCUGAGCGUGCUUUCGAUACGGGUUGACUUGAGGAAGGUAGGGGAGAAUGGAAUUCCUGGUGGAGCGGUGGAAUGCGCAGAUAUCAGGAGGAACACCAGUGGCGAAGGCGGUUCUCUGGGCCUUUCCUGACGCUGAGGAGCGAAAGCGUGGGGAGCGAACAGGCUUAGAUACCCUGGUAGUCCACGCUGUAAACGGUGGGUACUAGGUGUGGGGUCCAUUCCACGGGUUCCGUGCCGUAGCUAACGCUUUAAGUACCCCGCCUGGGGAGUACGGCCGCAAGGCUAAAACUCAAAGGAAUUGACGGGGCCCCGCACAAGCGGCGGAGCAUGCGGAUUAAUACGAUGCAACGCGUAGAACCUUACCUGGGUUUGACAUGGAUAGGGAGUGCUCAGAGAUGGGUGUGCCUCUUUUGGGGUCGGUUCACAGGUGGUGCAUGCCUGUCGUCAGCUCGUGUCGUGAGAUGUUGGGUUAAGUCCCGCAACGAGCGCAACCCUUGUUCACUGUUGCCAGCACGUUAUGGUGGGGACUCAGUGGAGACCGCCGGGGUCAACUCGGAGGAAGGUGGGGAUGACGUCAAGUCCUCAUGCCCCUUAUGUCCAGGGCUUCACGCAUGCUACAAUGGCUGGUACAGAGAGUGGCGAGCCUGUGAGGGUGAGCGAAUCUCGGAAAGCCGGUCUCAGUUCGGAUUGGGGUCUGCAACUCGACCUCAUGAAGUCGGAGUCGCUAGUAAUCGCAGAUCAGCAACGCUGCGGUGAAUACAAAGCCCGGGGCU
rnacentral:rRNA from 1 species